AAGUCGUAACAAGGUCUCCGUAGGUGAACCUGCGGAGGGAUCAUUAACAUCCAACUCCCGUGGGGGCUGGAGCUGGAAUCUUCCGCUCCCCUCCACGAGGACUCCCCUAUGAACCUCUCUCCCAUGGGACUCCAAGGAGGGACGAGACCUGUCCGAGUCGACGUGACCUCUCCGGAGGCACACGACGGCAGAGACGAUCCAAGGCUCGCCACUCUUGUCCUCCCCUUUUUCUUUUGUUCCCUCCCCCAAUAUUCUUCUCUCCUCUCUCUGGCAGAUUUGGGCCUCCUCGGAGCCCUUCUCUGUGUCAUUCCAUGAACCACAUAAUCACUCCCUUCCCUGGAUCUCUUGGUUCUCGCACCGAUGAAGAACGCAGCGAACUGCGAGAUGUGAUGCGAAUUGCAGAUGUCCGUGAAUCAUCCAAUCUUUGAACGCAACUGGCACUCGGCUUCUGACGCCGAGUCCGCGCCCCUCAGUCUCGCUCCCCCCCAUCCCCUUGANUGGNCGAACAGUCGAUCAAAGGGGGAAANCAGAGGACCGGAGUGGAGGAACCAACCGCUAACCGCGUGGUUCCCCCUCUCUGCUGCUGAUCGGCAAUGUGUUGUCCCGGGUGGCUUUCGAUCGGAUUGUCUCCAUCGGUCGGUCCCCUGUUCGACCUUGCCUCCCUAUGGACGGAUGGCUCCUCAAACUUUUGGAGCCGGACUUUCGAGCUGAGUUGGCGCGAGGCUACCCCCUGAAUUUAAGCAUAUUAGUACGGGGAGGAGAAGGANCUAACGAGGAUUCCCCUAGUAACGGCGAGUGAAGCGGGAGGAGCGCAUGCUGGGAACCGUCUUCCCUGUCNCCAGGGGGGAUGGGAUGUAGCGUGGGGAGGUUUUCGGGGCUCUCUUCCNCCGGCCGCAGUGCCGUGGAACCGGACAUCAGAGAGGGUGAGAAUCCCGUCCCGGGCCGGCGCCAGAGGAGAGUCCACUCGAGAGCUUCCACGAGUCGAGUUGUUUGGGAUUGCAGCUCUAGCAGGUGGGACCGUCCAUCUUCCGCUCCAUACAGGCGAGAGACCGAUAGCGAACAAGUACCGUGAGGGAAAGAUGAAAAGCACUUUGAAAAGAGAGUGACACAGGACGUGAAGGGGAAGGGAGGGAAGCGGGGGUCAGCUGGACUGCUUAUCGCCUCCUUUCCCUCUCUCGGGCCUCAGAAGCCGGUGGAACGGUAGGCGUGUCCUUGAUGCGCUGGCACAGUCCGCCGAGUGGGAGGCCCGGAGGGGGAGCGGGAGGCCGGCGGCUUCUCCCCGACC
rnacentral:rRNA from 1 species